UACGUAGGGACCAAGCGUUGUUCGGAUUUACUGGGCGUAAAGGGCGCGUAGGCGGCUUAACAAGUCACUUGUGAAAUCUCCGGGCUUAACUCGGAACGGCCAAGUGAAACUGUCAAGCUAGAGUGCGGAAGGGGCAAUCGGAAUUCUUGGUGUAGCGGUGAAAUGCGUAGAUAUCGGGAGGAACACCUGUGGCGAAGGCGACCCCCUGGUUGGAUACUGACGCUGAGACGCGAAAGCGUGGGGAGCAAACAGG
rnacentral:rRNA from 1 species